rnacentral:rRNA from 1 species
AGAGUUUGAUCCUGGCUCAGAUUGAACGCUGGCGGCAUGCCUUACACAUGCAAGUCGAACGGCAGCACGGGAGCAAUCCUGGUGGCGAGUGGCGAACGGGUGAGUAAUACAUCGGAACGUGCCCUGUAGUGGGGGAUAACUAGUCGAAAGACUAGCUAAUACCGCAUACGACCUGAGGGUGAAAGUGGGGGACCGCAAGG